UGGGAACACUCUAAUGUUGGUGUCACCACCCGCGUCAUUUGUUUGCGGAUAAGAUAUUUAGUGAAAAGUUCUGAUACCAAAGAAUCUUGAGCAAACCACGUUACAAAAGUCAACUAUUGUAGAUUUGUAGUUGGAGAGCAUUAAUGCCUUAUAUAAUUGGAUCCUAACACUCUCUCGCUCUCUAUGUCUCUCUCUCAUCUUCAGAGUUAAAGAUGGUCUUCACCAGUGCCAUUGGUUUUCUUCUUCUGCAAACUCUUUCAUCAGCUACAAGUGAUUUCCUAUUUCCUCUUAGUCCCCUGAUCGCUCCAUUAUGUGGGCGAGUUAAGUUCAGACGAUGUGUGCAAAGGAGUGGAAUGUGGAUAGGGAACAUGCAAACCUUCUCAGAAUAGCACACUCUUGUUUGAAUGCGAUUGUGAUCCAGGUUGGAGGCAAACUCUUUCUGAUCACGAUGAGGGCUUCAAGUUUCUUCCUUGCAUAGUUCCUAAUUGUAAGAACUCUCUCUUGACCAAAAUAGAAGUUAUGUAUUCGCUGUUAUUUUCCUACGAGUUGUUCUCUGCUUGAUUUAAUUUUAAAACUGCAUUUUUUAGGAAGCGUGAAUUGUUGUGUAGUAUGUUUGUUUUGGUGACUAUUUUUUGGCUGCAUGUGGUUGAAAAAGUCUGGUAUUUGGGGAAAUUAUUUGCUACGUUACAAAGUGGAAGUGUCUGAAUCACACAAAGGGUAUAGAUUUUCUUCGCACGCAUGGAUCCUGGCAAAGUUUGUUCCUUGGAUUUAAGAUGUUAAAGUAAUAUGAAAGCAAAGAACUAAGUCAUGGAAUGACACUCUAGCAUUGCUUAAUUAAGAUAAUAAAUAUGAAGUUACUAACACAGUGUAGUUCCAUCCCAAAGUUGUAAAGUGGAGUGCUAUGUUAAAGUA